AGACUUAGCGGUUGUUUUUAGCCAUCGCUCACUAUUCUGAUUUGCCAGACUGUUUAUUGAUAGAGUUUUUCUGCGAUGGCAUAAAUCAACCGCUUAAGUCUAAACUUAGACGCGAGGGCCCACGUUCAUCACUCGCUCAGUUUAUGGAUUAUGCUUUGUUAGCUGUCGGGUCUUUGUUUACUGUGGGUGUCGCGGAGGAAGAAUGCGACACAGUGUCUGUGACUGAAAUGGCGGCU